GACAUCAUGGCUUACGGAACACUUGGGUGCUACUUUGAUGUCUUGGCGUUUGUUAACCGCGUGAGUUUGUAGCAAAAGCGACCAGUUUUCUUUCGAACUUCUAAUAGCGCGUAUAUAGCGAUGUAUCGAAUCAGGUAAGGCCUCAUUAGGACCUGACUCUUGUGUGUUUUGCGUCUUUUGCAGACAUGAAAAACCAUUUUCUGAUCUCUUUCGUGACUCUGCCACGUCAUUUUGAGUGUUAAUGUAACAUCGGGACUUGACAGACGUGAACUGUGGGUACAAACUUGCGUAGGUAGUAGGAUCUACGUGUUUGUGAGUGUUGGACGUUGUAAUGUAGGUAGCAGGUAGGUAAAUUGCUGUGAGUAAUUGAGUAUUAUUACUACACCAUAAAUAUGAAGUUGAACAGCAAGUGGCAGUGUGUGAUCUCCUGGAGCAUGUGACACAGUAGACCAGAAUGAUAGUGAGGCCAAUAUAUUGACAUAUAUAAUAUAUACAAACAAGAAUUGAUAUCAUUAACAUUAAUUGUACUGUAAUAAUUAACACAAUCUAUUUCUAAAUAGACUGCUUGGUAAGUUCCUGUAUGAUGUGCCACCAGUAAAUAGUUGUGAUACAAACAUGACAUGAGCAGAUGGGAUACAUGUAUUGCAACCAAUGCCUAAACAGUGUGGUGGUGUUUAUAGCCUGAGAAAAAAGAUGAUUGCUAACACCCAUCUGAAGAACGUUCUGCUAAUUACUAUUUCCAUUGCAUCAAUGAUGCAGGUCAUUUCUAAAGAAAUCUGUCGAAACGAUUGUGGUAGACUUCAAUGUAGAGUAUUUCUUGGCAACCACCAGUCGAUGUCAUUCAAACAAUAAUACAGAAAGUUGAUUCGUGUGAUAAAUGUUGCGAACAAGAGAAAGGUCUUUCAUCUCCAGGCCCAGAAAAAGACGAACUAUAGUCAGAAAAAACUCAUUCAAAGAUUCAAUCGUUGAAACAAUUGUAAAGGAGCUGAAAGCGAAGGCAUACACGAGUAGCAAAAGACCGAUCUCCAUGUUAGAAGGUACAGACGUCAAUCUACACUACUUGGUUAACGUUGGUGUCUAGAUCGAUGAUCUCCUUGCGUACAAAGUUGGUGACAAUGGUCCGUUGGAGUGUUGCUUGGUUAUUGGCUGUGGUCGGUGGCUAUUAUACUUGGUUGCUGACUAUGAUGAUCUCCUGGCGUACUAAAUUGUUGGCACUGGUCACCUGUUUUUUUAAUCUGUUGCUGACAGUGAUUCGCUCUGUCACACGACUUCCUAUCGUGCUGCUGUCUUCCGUGCAGUCAUGGCUGAAUGUUGGUCUACAGAAGUCGAGGAAGAGCAAGACUUAGUAAACAUUUCGAGACAGAAGAUUGUAUGGAUACUUCUUCAAUUAUUUCGCUUUCGUGACUGAUGAUUUCUAGAUCUGUUAGUGCUAUACUUAUUAUUUAAUUACAAGCUUGCGCUGAAC